UAAGUAAUGAAGUAAAAUUUACAUUUAGUUUCGACCUAAAAAUAGAGAAAAACUCCUUACUUAU
rnacentral:tRNA from 1 species